AGAUCUCGUUGCGACGAGAGUAAAGCUGCAGCGCGAGAACUGAGAGGGAAUGUUCUCGCGAGACCCCGUCUCAGCUGCCUUUCUUCCUGAGGCUCCGCCCCCCAGUUACGUACAAGAGUGCGUCAAGCCCAGGCCCAAGAUACAGAGGAGCGACAGAGAAGCCGAAAGAUAGUUGGGAGGCGGAGCUGGUCACUGAGCCUGCGCACAGAACGCUCCGCAACACUCCCUGCAGCGGUAAAGAGCAGUGGAGCACCUCCUUUCCUGUAGAAAGUACGAGGGAGAGCAGGUGUCCAGUGGAGUCCUGUCCUACAUUCUGCAGUGGCUUCUGGAAUUAUCUGUUUCACAAACCCAAUUUCUCUCUCUUUAUGAAGUGGCUGCUCAGAGUUCUGAAUGCACAUGUUUCAAGCCCAGCCCUAUGCAGAGAUGAAAACUGAAGACCUUCAGUUCUACUAUAAAAUUGCCAGGCUCUGGAAUUGUAAGAAUGUGUUCUCAAGAGUCCAGUAGCUGUAUUCACACCUGUGGAAAGAUGUCUGAAGGAAGGAGGCUACGACUCAGAAGAAAGUAGAAACUAGGUUGUCUGGUCAAAAGGCAUCACAUUCCUGGUUCUGAGCCUAUAUGCAUAGAGCUGCCCUGCUCUCACUGCCCCCAGUAUUUAUCCCUUCAUCUCCUUCUUUGCAAAGGUUAUUUUGAUAUUGGUUUCUGUCACUUGCAACUUGAGUACCUCUGACUAAUAAUCUACCACAUUUAAAACCCACCUUCUAAAUGCAGUAAACAUCUUCAUGUAAAUAUUCCUGGGAUUAAAAUUCACUUUAAAGGGAGUUCCUUGGUGGCCUUGUGGUUAGGAUUUCAGGCUUGCACUGCUGUGGCCCAGGUUUAAUCCCUGGUCAGGAAACUGAUAUCCUACAAGCUGCUCGGCACAGCCAAAAAGAAAAAAAAGAGUCACUCUGAUGAUUUACCAAUGAUAAAACCCCCUUCAUAUGGAUGCUAACCAGACUUACUAGGUUGAUCAUUUUUGCAGUAUGUAAAAAUAACGAAUCAUUAUGUUGUAUACCUAAAAGAAUAUAAUGUGUCAAUUAUACCUCCAAAAAUAA
ensembl:lncRNA